rnacentral:rRNA from 1 species
GUGCCAGCAGCCGCGGUAAUACAGAGGUGGCAAGCGUUGUUCGGAAUUACUGGGCGUAAAGGGCGCGUAGGCGGCCUUGUAAGUCCUGUGUGAAAUCCCCCGGCUCAACUGGGGAACUGCACAGGAGACUGCUUGGCUUGAGUUCGGGAGAGGGAAGCGGAAUUCCGGGUGUAGCGGUGAAAUGCGUAGAUAUCCGGAGGAACACCGGUGGCGAAGGCGGCUUCCUGGACCGACACUGACGCUGAGGCGCGAAAGCCAGGGGAGCAAACGGGAUUAGAUACCCCGGUAGUCC